rnacentral:lncRNA from 1 species
GCACAUUUCCUGCAUGCUGGGCUCUGUAAGGAGGAAGGGAGAGGCCCCUGCUUGGAGAAGCUUUCCAUCCAACAGAUGUGGAUGCUACCUAUGCCACCAGUGUCAAACAUAACUUCAGGAUCACAGAAGAGGCCGAGAGUGCUAAAAGGUCACGCUGGAAUGAAGCAUAUGAGCAGCACCUGCUCACCAGAUCACCAGGCAGAGGCAAGAUGAAUGUUCGCAGCACCACGUCCUGCUGAAGCUCUACACAAACACAGCACCCAUGGCAACCAAACAGAGGGCAAACACAGGAGCAGGAAUGCCGCUGUGAGAACAAGGCCCAGGAGUGACAGCCACGAGCCACCCACUUUAUGGGCACUUACUAAGUGCCAGGCGCCACAUCAAGGAUUAAAUACCUUAUUUAAUCAUCGA